CGCCUAACACAUGCAAGUCGAACGCGAAAGAGGGGCAACCCUUGAGUAAAGUGGCGCACGGGUGAGUAACGCGUAGGUGAUCUACCUUUGCGACCGGGAUAACCAGCCGAAAGGUUGGCUAAUACUGGAUAGAGCGCACUGAAUGUAAGGUUUAGUGCGGGAAAAGCAGGCCGUAGCAAUACGGCUUGUGCGCUGAGAUGAGCCUGCGUCUCAUUAGCUAGUUGGUAGGGUAAAAGCCUACCAAGGCAUUGAUGGGUAGCUGGUCUGAGAGGACGAUCAGCCACACUGGAACUGAAACACGGUCCAGACUCCUACGGGAGGCAGCAGUGGGGAAUCUUGCGCAAUGGACGAAAGUCUGACGCAGCGACGCCGCGUGGGUGAAGAAGGCCUUCGGGUUGUAAAGCCC
rnacentral:rRNA from 1 species